AUGCCGUCAUGUCUUCUUAGGUUUUUUGGGUUGGGAAACAUUGAGUUCGCUUCGCGUUCAUUCCACUAUUUUCAAUGGAUUGGUAUUCAGUAAGGAGAAAAGGAGAGUGCUUGGUGGAGUUGCAGAUCGAACUCGGUGAGGUCAAAGGGGUCAAGAUCUGUAACUUUUGAGUUAGGGGUGGAAACUUGUUUAAGAUCUGGGUUGGUUUGGGGAAAUAGAAGGAAUCUGGCCUGGGUUUUAGGAUUGUUCUACCUGGGUUCUUUGUUUCUGUCGUUCCAUUGGCUCCUUCACCAGAUUGUUCGAUUGCUAUCUAAUUUAUCAAUCCCAAUCGAGUAGCCGACGAAGAAGGCUAGCACUGCUUUUGCUCAUCUUCUACUCGAUCAAAACCAUUUUCAAUUUCAAAUGGGUCUGCAAUGGGGAGCUCUUACUUUUUACUCUCCCCUCUCCUACUCUCGAUUUCCCUAAUUUUCUUCUCAUGACCCAAUCCGCGAUUGUUCAAACUCCAUCUCCUUCCUAUUUUUCAUUCUCUUUCUGCAUAUCAAUGCCAAGAUAAUAAAAUUUAUAUAGCUUGUGGAUUGUUGUUGAUUACACAGCUCAAGGAAUGGACAUCUGAUUCCUCUCAAAUUCCCGAAGAAAGAAAACCAGUUUUGUAAAAACCCAGAGGAGAUCCCAUGGGGUCAGUUUGGUGCCGAUAUUGUUGUUGGAGUCUACUGGCCAGUGUUCACUGACAAGGACAAAGCCGCUGCGCACUUAAAGGGAAAGGAUAUCCUGGAAAUCAACCAUCCCGAAAGUCCUUUCGGCACAAAGACCAGAGUGAUAUGAAAUUUUAGUAAAUUUAGAUUCUGUAUAAAAUUUAAGAAAAUCAAACAGAAACUGGCAGCAUCGCAUGGGCGAGCUGCCUAGUUUUAGCUAAGGUUUAAAUAUUAGUGCAUUUUUGUAUCUGUAUAAUCAUACCUCAAAUAUUAUCUAUCUAAGCUUUGUAUUUCAAUUUUGUUGGCUCUGUACUUAUAGAUUAUCUUGUUUGCAUAAUUAAGUAAUUGAACAGAAUGUCAAUUGUAUGCGUUUU
rnacentral:lncRNA from 1 species